UUCUUUAAGCUUAAUAAUUUAAAGUAAAACCUGCUCAAUGAAUAAAUUAAAUAGCCGCAGUACUCUGUGCUAAGGUAGCAUAAUCAUUUGCUUUCUAAAUAAAAGAUAGAAUGAAUGGUUACACGUUAAAAAUCUAUCUCAUUUAAAAUAUUAAAAUUAACCUAAAUAUUAAAAGGUAUUUAUACUUUAGUAAGACGAUAAGACCCUAUCAAACUUACCAUUUAGUUGGGGCAACUUAAUAACUAUAUUUUAUCAGUACUUAAAUAAUAAACCUUAUUUUUAACACUUAAAUAGUUACUGUAGGGAUAACAGCGCAAUUUUUUUUAAGAGCUCUAAUCAAAAAAAAAUAUUACGACCUCGAUGUUGAAUUAAUUUACCAUUAAGGUGCAAAAACUUUAUUAGGCAGUCUGUUCGACUAUUAAAUAAUU
rnacentral:rRNA from 1 species